AUUGAACGCUGGCGGCAGGCUUAACACAUGCAAGUCGAGCGAGCGGCGGACGGGUGAGUAAUGUCUGGGAAACUGCCUGAUGGAGGGGUAUAACUACUGGAAACGGUAGCUAAUACCGCAUACCAUCAGAUGUGCCCAGAUGGGAUUAGCUAGUAGGUGGGGUAAUGGCUCACCUGGGCGACGAUCCCUAGCUGGUCUGAGAGGAUGACCGGCCACACUGGAGCUGAGACACGGUCCAGACGCCUACGGGAGGCAGCAGUGGGAAAUAUUGCACAAUGGGCGCAAGCCUGAUGCAGACAUGCCGCGUGUGUGAAGAAGGCCUUCGGGUUGUAAAGCACUUUCAGCGAGGAGGCGUUACUCGCAGAAGAAGCACCGGCUAACUCCGUGCCAGCCGCCGCGGUAAUAC
rnacentral:rRNA from 1 species